GAUUAAGCCAUGCAUGUGUAAGUAUAAAUAAUUCUACUUUGAAACUGCGAAUGGCUCAUUAUAUCAGUUAUAGUUUAUUAGAAAAAAUGUACUACUUGGAUAACCGUAGUAAUUCUAGGGCUAAUACAUGAAUGAAUCCUCGACUUUGAAGAGGUGUGUUUAUUAGUAUGAAAACCAUAUGCUUCGGCAUGAUAGUGAGUAAUAAUAACCUUUCGUAUCGUAUGUUGACAUAACGAUAGUUCUUUCAAGUUUCUGCCCUAUCAGCUUUCGAUGGUAGUGUAUUGGACUACCAUG
rnacentral:rRNA from 1 species